UUCGGAUUGUAGGCUGCAACCCGCCUACAUGAAGUUGGAAUUGCUAGUAAUCGCAGAUCAGAAUGCUGCGGUGAAUACGUUCCCGGGCCUUGUACACACCGCCCGUCACACCAUGGGAGCCGGUAAUACCCGAAGUCAGUAGUCUAACCGCAAGGGGGACGCUGCCGAAGGUGGGAUUGAUGACUGGGGUGAAGUCGUAACAAGGUAUC
rnacentral:rRNA from 1 species